AGGGCCAUACCUGAAGCAAAGGGAAGUUCCCAGGCUAGGGGUCAAAUCAGAUUUACAGCUGUCGGCCUGCACCACAGCCACAGCAACCUGGGAUCCAAACCGCGCCUGUGACCUACACCACAGCUCACAGCAACACCAGAUCCUUAACCCACUGAGUGAGGCCAGGGAUCAAAGCUGCAUCCUCAUGGACACUAGCUGGAUUCAUUUCCACUGCACCACAGUGGGAACGCCUAGACCUUGGUUUCUAAAUACCAUUCUCCCUAAAAGGAACCAGAGCUCCAGGGAGAAACGGCUAAUUCCAGAGCUAAGGCAGAGAAAGUAUACAAAAAAUCUGGAACAUCCUGUACCAGAAAGUAUGGAAAUUCUGAAAGAAUGACAGGAACACGUCAAAAUGGCACAGGAACGAGCCAAAGUAAUCCUAUUGGCUAAAUUUGGGAUAAUUUUAGCAUCAAAAGAGUGAUACAAAUUGCUUAUAAUCUGUUUAAUAAAUAAGAACCCAUGAUAUCAUACUAAUAUAGAUAGACUAGACAGUUGGAUGGAUAGAUAGACAGAUAGAUAGAUAGAUAGAUAGAUAGAUAGAUAGAUAGAUAGAUAGAAAGAAAGAAGGGCAGGAAAGUUUUACCUUACAAUAGAAAGUCAACUACUAAAGGCAGAAGAGAUGAUGGAAGGGAUGAUUAGCAAUUGGAAAAUUUUACAGUAAUAAUUGUUUUGGUCAAAAAACAAAAAUGGAUACUAACACAAACGAGUGAAAAUGUGAUCAGAAACAGAAUCUUUGCACAAUCUCAAAGUAUCUGCAGACAAAAAUUCUUAUUCAUGGAGUUCCCGUUGUGGCGCAGUGGAAACGAAUCCGACUAGGAACCAUGAGGUUGUGGGGUUCCAUCCCUGGCCUCACUCAGUGGGUUAAGGAUCCGGCGUUGCAGUAAGCUGUGGUGUAGGUCACAGAUGUGGCUCAGAUAAUCGUAGAUGUGGCUCGGAUCUUGCAUUGCUGUGGCUCUGGCAUAGGCCGGCAGCUAUAGCUUCGAUUAGACCCCUAGCCCACGAACCUCCAUAUGCCAGCGGGUGCAGCACUAAAAAGACAAAAGACAAAAAAAAAAAAAAAAAAAACUUAUUCAUGAAGCUCCCUGGUGGCUUAGUGGUUAAGAACUUGGCAUUGUCACUGCUGUGGCUCAGGUCACUGCUAUAGCUCAGGUUUGAUCCCUGGCCCAGGAACUUCUGCAUACUGUGGAUGAAGCCAAAUAAAAAACAAACUUAUUCAUGAAACAUCACACUGCAAAAUUUGGCAGAUGCCUCCUUACCAAAUGAUAAUACUUGACUUCAGCAGGAGACAAACCAACAUCAUGUGCCUUCCAAUGUGAUGCACUGAGAGGAGUACAGAAUCACUUCAGUAGCAUUCCUGCCAAAAAACACAUUCCACACAUCCAAUCAUGAGAAAACAUCAGACAAACACAAACUGACAGUCAUUCUGCAAAGUAAUCAUCCCACUCCAAAAAUGUCAAGGUCAUGAAAAAAAAGGAGAGACCAGGAACCGUUCCAAAUAAAAGAAAAUUAAUGAGAUAUGACAGCUAAAUGCAGUAUAUGAACUUGGACUGAAUCCUGGGCCUAUAAAAGACUUGAUUAGGAAAAACUGUAAGAUGCUUUUUAAGGACCAUUUUAGCUCCAGAUGUCUCCAUGAGGUUUACUGCAGCUCCUGUUGGACUGCAUCAUUUCUGGACUUCUCCUGCUCCAUUAUGUUUCCUUUCCUGCCCUUUUACACUUGUUGGUCCCAGAAGCAUUCCUUAAUAAAUAUCCUGCACACUUAACUGCGUCUCACAGUCCGCUUCCUGGAGAACUCAACCUAAAAGGACAAAAGUGAGUAGGAUCUUAACAAGCCAAUGUUGAGAUGAGACAUACUCUAUACAUGAAAACUAGUUUGAGGAAUGUCUCAUAUUAGCAGAUAAAUAGCCUAACUGAUAGGGGACGGAGUAACUGGAAUCCAGAGAGCAGAAGGCAGCUCGAUGUGAGAUGAAGCUGUAAAGAGAGGUUAGGGCAAAGCCCGUACAGGAUACUGCUGGCCAUGUUAAUGACCUCAGUUUGUCUUAACGGUAAUACAAAGUUACUAGAAGCCUGGACAGUAGACUACGGGAGGGCAAGCAGUGUACGAUAAGAUUUGCAACUGGGAUAGAUUAUUAGUACUGCAGCAGAAAAUGGAAAACAGAUUGUGGAAAGGAAAAGAGUGAAGUUGGAAAGACUACUAAGAAUGUUACUGCAUGGAGUUCCCGUCGUGGUGCAGUGGUUAACGAAACCGACUAGGAACCAUGAGGUUGCAGGUUUGAUCCCUGGCCUUGCUCAGUGGGUUAAGGAUCCAGUGUUGCCAUGAGCUGCAGUGUAGGUCACAGAUAUGGCUCGGAUCCCGCGAUGCUGUGGCUCUGGCGUAGGCCAGUGACUACAGCUCUGAUUAGACCCCUAGCCUGGGAACCUCCAUAUGCCACGGGAGCAGCCCUAGAAAAGAAAAAAAAGAAAAAAAAAAGAAAGAAAGAAAGAAAGGAACCCUCCUACACUGUUGGUGGGAAUGCAAAUUGAUAAAAACCACUACGGAAAACAGUACGGAGUUUCCUCAAAAAACUGAAACUAUAACUACCAGAGUUCCUGUUGUGGCUCAGUGGCAACAAGUCACUCAUGGACUAGUAUCCAUGAGGACAUGGGUUCGAUCCCUGGCUUUGCUCAGUGGGUUAAGGAUCAGGCAUUGUCGUGAGCUAUGGUGUAGGUCUCAGAUGCGGCUUGGAUCCCACGUGGCUGUGGCUGUGGGGUAGGCCAGAAGCUGCAGCUCCAAUUCGACCCCUAGCCUGGGAACUUCCACAUGCUGCAGGUGCAGCCCUAAAAAGACCAAAAAAGAAAAAAAAGAACUACCAUGUGAUCCAGCAAUCCCACUCCUGGUCCUCUAUCUGGAGGAAAUCAUAAUUUGAAAAGACACAUACACCCCAGCAUUCAUUGCAGCACUAUUUCCCAUAGCCAAGACAUGGAAACAAUCUAAAUGCCCAUUGACAGAGGACUGAGUAAAGAAGAUAUGGUACAUAUAUGCAAUGGAAUGUCACUCAGCCAUUUAAAACAAUGAAAUAAUGGAGUUCCCUGGUAGCUCAGCAGAUUAAAUAUCCAGCUCUGCUGUGUCACUGCUGUGGAUCUGGUUACUGCUGUGGCUGGUGCAGGUUAGACCCCUGGCCCAGGAGAAAAAAAAAAAAAAAAGUGAAAUAAUGCCAUUUACAGCAACAUGGAUGCGUGGAUGGAUCUAGAGAUUAUCAUACUAAGUGAAGUGAAUCAAAGACAAACAUCAUGUGAUAUCACAUACAAGUGGACUCCAAAUGCACCGACAGUAUAUGGAAUGGAUGGUCAGCGUGGGCUUGCUGUAUAGCACAGGGAACUCUACUCGAUAUUCUGCGCGCGCCUCUAUGGGAAUGGAUGUGUGUAGAUGUAUAACUCAGUCACUUUGCUGUACAGCAGAAAUUCACACGGCACUGUACAUAACUGUACCUCAAGGAAAUGUUUUUAAAAAGAAAUAUUGAGAAGAUUAAAAAUGACAGCCUGGAGAUAGACUGGAUAUGGAUCCUAAGGAAGAGGAGGUGUGAAGGAUGACACCUAGUUUUUGAUUUGCUAAAAUGAAUAAAUAGUGCCAAUGAGGUUACGAAACGUUAGAAGAGGAUCGGGUGUAGCAGAACGAUUCAUGAACUUGUUCUUCCUUUGCCAACUAAGUGUGGGGUUGGGAAACCAAGGAGAAAAAAAUGUUUCAAGAAGCAAGGAGAUAUCAACCAUGACGAAAGCUCUAGAGGGGUGAGGUAAUCUGUAGCUCGAAAAUAUCCACGAGAGGUGCUUCAGAGGAAUGGUGAAUGUAGAAGCCAGUGUGGAUGAAAAGUGAGUAGCAAGAAGGAAAACAGAGACAUUUUUCCAUCCACCACAAAAACAAAAACAGCAAAAACAGGAAACAUAUUAGCCCCCCCAAAAAGAGUUGUAAUUCUAACCAAAUCAAAAAUAUCAACUGAAUCCAAACUCCACUUGGGAUAAAAAUAAAUCUCGGUGUAUACACAUCAUUUUAUCUAGUUCUCUGAACUCCAAAGGGAUGGAAUUAGCUCCAGAAAAGCACAGUAGUUGUUACCAUUGCCAGUCAGAUGAGAAAAUUAGCAAUUCUAUUGGCACAAUCUUAUAAAUCUACUAUACUUUAACAAAAAAUUAAAAAAUAAGAAAAUAGCAAUUUGGCAAAUAAAUUGCCUCCCAAAAAAAUGCUAUUAAAAAAGUCACUUUGAGGCUUUCCCAUUGUGGCACAUCAGAAACAAAACCAUGAGGUGGUGGGUUUGAUCCCUGACCUCACUCAGUGGGUUAAGGAGCUGGAGUUGCCGUGAGCUGUGGUGUACGUCGAAGAUGUGGCUCGGAUCCCGAGUUGCUGUGGUGUAGGCCAGCGGCUAUAGCUCCAGUUAGACCCCUAGCCUGGGAACCUCCAUAUGCCACAAGUGCAGCCCUAAAAAAAAAGCACAAAUGCAUCUUUAGCUUUUAAAUUUCAUGCCCUCCUCUGCAUUCUACACAUACGACACAUCUUCCCACAAUGUUUUUCUCCCAAAUCCAAAACCUUAUCCAAGUUCGAGGUCAGGUCCUAUCAGUGAGUCUUUUCCGGCUAAAUCCCUAUCUGGUUAUUUGGAAAACCUUAGCAUUUGAGAAUUUAAUGUGUAAUGUUGCUAAGGUCUUGCUCUCAAAUUGCUAAAUAUUUUUCGCAAUAGAUUACAAAGUCCCAGCAGGCAGAGACUAGGACUUCUCGUUCUCUUAUAUGUUAUUAACACUUUCUGUAUAUUCAAAUUAAGUGUAGCAUAAGCUAAUCAUAAUUUACACUGCUCAAAACCCCAUUUUCAUCUCCGAAUCCCAGUCCUCAAAUUUCCCUAUGAAUAAUUAACAUGUAUUGAUUAGUAUAUACCAUUCACUGUUAUUCACACUUCACUUCUCUUUUGUGUGUGUGUGUGUGUGUGUCUUUUUAGGACCGCACCCAUGGCAUAUUAAGUUUCCCAAAGGGGUGAAAUCGGAGCUGUAGCCACUAGCCUGAACUACAGCCACAGCAAAGCUGAAUUCCAGGCGUGUCUGCAACCCACACCACAGCUCACUGAAAUACUGGAUCCUUAACCCACUGAGUGAGGCCAGGGAUUGAACCUGUGUCCUCACGAAUGCUAGUCAGAUUCCUUUUCGCUGAGCUACUGACAGGAACUCCACUUUUCACAUUUGAACACACACAAUCCUCCCAAGAACCCGAGGAUACAGAUAUUACUACUCUUACUUUCCAGAUCAGAAAACGAGUCAGAAAGGACAAGUGACACAAUUAGUAAGUGGCAGAUUUGUGAAUCAAAUCAAGACAGACACUGGAGACCAUUUUCUUAACUUUUUAGUAACAUAAAAAUAACCCUAAUAAGGGCUGGUC
rnacentral:lncRNA from 1 species